UACCCUUGACAUGCCAGGAACCCUCCAGAGAUGGAGGGGUGCCCGAAAGGGAACCUGGACACAGGUGCUGCAUGGCUGUCGUCAGCUCGUGUCGUGAGAUGUUGGGUUAAGUCCCGCAACGAGCGCAACCCUCGUUCCAUGUUGCCAGCGGGUUAUGCCGGGGACUCAUGGGAGACUGCCGGUGACAAACCGGAGGAAGGUGGGGAUGACGUAGACCUUGGACC
rnacentral:misc_RNA from 1 species